UGUGGAAUAUUGGUCAAUGGGCGCGAGCCUGAACCAGCCAAGUAGCGUGAAGGAUGAAGGUCCUAUGGAUUGUAAACUUCUUUUAUAGCAGAAUAAAGUGACCCACGUGUGGGUUUUUGUAUGUAUGCUAUGAAUAAGGAUCGGCUAACUCCGUGCCAGCAGCCGCGGUAAUACGGAGGAUCCGAGCGUUAUCCGGAUUUAUUGGGUUUAAAGGGUGCGUAGGCGGAAAGAUAAGUCAGCCUGUGAAAGUUUGCGGCUCAACCGUAAAAUUGCAGUUGAUACUGUUUUUCUUGAGUGUACAUAAGGUAGGCGGAAUUCGUGGUGUAGCGGUGAAAUGCUUAGAUAUCACGAAGAACUCCGAUUGCGAAGGCAGCUUACCGGGGUACAACUGACGCUGAUGCACGAAAGUGUGGGUAUCAAACA
rnacentral:rRNA from 1 species